UACGUAGGUGGCGAGCGUUAUCCGGAAUUAUUGGGCGUAAAGAGCGCGCAGGUGGUUGAUUAAGUCUGAUGUGAAAGCCCACGGCUUAACCGUGGAGGGUCAUUGGAAACUGGUCAACUUGAGUGCAGAAGAGGGAAGUGGAAUUCCAUGUGUAGCGGUGAAAUGCGUAGAGAUAUGGAGGAAUACCGAAGGCGAAGGCAGUCUUCCAAGCCGUUAUUGACGCUCAACUGCGAAGGUGUGGGUAUCAAACAGGAUUAGAUACCCG
rnacentral:rRNA from 1 species